CAUUACACAAAUAUGAAGGCGGGCUGGAACCUCUCGGGGUUACAGCCUUGCUGAAUUAUUCACCCUUGUCUUUUGCGUACUUCUUGUUUCCUUGGUGGGUUCGCCCACCACUAGGACAAACAUAAACCUUUUGUAAUUGCAAUCAGCGUCAGUAACAAAUUAAUAAUUACAACUUUCAACAACGGAUCUCUUGGUUCUGGCAUCGAUGAAGAACGCAGCGAAAUGCGAUAAGUAGUGUGAAUUGCAGAAUUCAGUGAAUCAUCGAAUCUUUGAACGCACAUUGCGCCCUUUGGUAUUCCAAAGGGCAUGCCUGUUCGAGCGUCAUUUGUACCCUCAAGCUUUGCUUGGUGUUGGGCGUCUUGUCUCUAGCUUUGCUGGAGACUCGCCUUAAAGUAAUUGGCAGCCGGCCUACUGGUUUCGGAGCGCAGCACAAGUCGCACUCUCUAUCAGCAAAGGUCUAGCAUCCAUUAAGCCUUUUUUUCAACUUUUGACCUCGGAUCAGGUAGGGAUACCCGCUGAACUUAAGCAUAUCAAUAAGCGGAGGAAAAGAAACCAACAGGGAUUGCCCUAGUAACGGCGAGUGAAGCGGCAACAGCUCAAAUUUGAAAUCUGGCUCUUUUAGAGUCCGAGUUGUAAUUUGCAGAGGGCGCUUUGGCUUUGGCAGCGGUCCAAGUUCCUUGGAACAGGACGUCACAGAGGGUGAGAAUCCCGUACGUGGUCGCUGGCUAUUGCCGUGUAAAGCCCCUUCGACGAGUCGAGUUGUUUGGGAAUGCAGCUCUAAAUGGGAGGUACAUUUCUUCUAAAGCUAAAUAUUGGCCAGAGACCGAUAGCGCACAAGUAGAGUGAUCGAAAGAUGAAAAGCACUUUGGAAAGAGAGUCAAACAGCACGUGAAAUUGUUGAAAGGGAAGCGCUUGCAGCCAGACUUGCUUACAGUUGCUCAUCCGGGUUUCUACCCGGUGCACUCUUCUGUAGGCAGGCCAGCAUCAGUUUGGGCGGUAGGAUAAAGGUCUCUGUCACGUACCUCCUUUCGGGGAGGCCUUAUAGGGGAGACGACAUACUACCAGCCUGGACUGAGNUCCGCGC
rnacentral:rRNA from 1 species